AUUUGCCUCUCACUUCCCUCUGGGUAGUGGUGGACUGAUAAUCGGUGUUGGAGCUACUGGUAGAAGGGAUUGCUAAAUUUUCAGGACAGAAAUGAAUCGAAUGAGCUGCCGAUGAGCAUAUGGCGCAGGAAGGAGUUUUGAGACGUGCAAAAUGCAUCAGAAACAAUUCUGUAUCUAACUGUGCCCAGUCUGUGAUUGUAUUGUAUUGAGACAGUAAUGCGGCAGAUCUGGAUGUGAAUGACUUGUGAU